CUCUCUCCAGUCUCGUUUGGUUUCAUCUCGUAGAUGCACCGCUUCCUUAUUUGUCUGGAGAUGCAGGGAGAGCUACCAGCAGAACUACAGAGCUCUCCCGGCCGCAGUUUUCUCCUGUCCAGCAGUCUGCCUGGUGCACCCUGGCCACCCUGGCACCCUUGUAUCUACUCUGUUCCUCAACUCUGUAAGAACACCAGGCUCUCCUCCGGGCAUACCCUUCCUGGGGCACCGCAGAUACUCCAAGAGAACGCCAAGUGCAUAAGCAUGCAUGUUCACCGUUUUGAUAUUGUUCAACAAUUCCCUUAGUCAUCAUUCAUUUUUCUCUUUUCUUUAAAUAAGUGUGUACCUCUCACCAAACUUACCUGGAAGCUAGAGGAUAAAGGAUGCAUGUAUACAACCUUUAUAGCUCAGCCUCCUGGGACAUAGGAAGGUAGAGUACAGAGAAGAAUAGAAGCAAAUGGAAGAAAUACAGCUCAAGAAGAGGCCACGUGAGGACAUGGAGAGAAAGCGGCUGUCAUCAUGCCCAGAAGAGGGCUCUCACCAGAAAACAACCCUGCAGGCACCUUGAUCUUGGACUUCCAGCCUCCAGAACCG